UUCCGGAGUUUAUAAAAUCAACUCAGAAGACGAAUGCUAGACUCGACUGCCAACACGUAGACAAACAAUGCAGCCAAAGGAUGUGGGGUAUUGACUGGACUCUGGACUCUGGACUCCGGACCUUAGAGUCCUGUGAUCAAGGCAGACAAGUGGAGUCCAUUAAAACACUAACGUCACGUCAGGCGCCGAGUGAUGGAUGUGAUCCAAGGACGAAGACGAGAGUGCAGGCGAAAAACGGGCAAAAACCGGAGCCGAAAGGAUAACAGGUCCUGACGGCUGCACCCACCGGAUAGUACUUGGAUGAAUACCAAUCAGAGAAACAAUUGGCAAGCCGUCGUCCUCUGGCCAACGAACAGGAUGUGAUGGCAAUUUAAGGCAGACAGCAGACAGUCGCUCAAAAUGGAGUUUCUCCGGGGCUCCAUCUGCUCUUCGCCAUGGUGCGAGGGGGCGUGGCAAGCGCACCGCCUCCGGGCCAGCAACUGCAGCAUGUCCUGGCCAAUUGCCCGGGCAGCGGAGUGUGCGUGAGGCCGGAUGUGAGGAAGUGCGCCCCUUUUGCAUCGCCAUCAUGAAGUCAUUCACUCAAUUUAUCGUUUGAUGAAUGUCCUGGCAGAUAGUCCUGCCACUCCGCUCCCCCCACUCACGCCUCACUGUUUUGGGGCGUUGAUGUCGGGACACACACACGUUUAAUGGCCAUUUGAGCAGUUGAUAAACGUUUCGCUCGUUUGCGUUGAUGAAAUGUUGUCGUUGUCGUCGUCGGUGCUGUCCUUGUUUGGUCCUGCAUUGUUUAUUUAUGCCCGGCAUAUGGUUCAUAUGGGGCUCAUAGCGCACAUCCAGAUCCACAUCCCCAUCCCCAUUCUCAUCCUCAUCCUCUGCAUGUAUGGCCCGUUUAGUUUUUGCGCUUAUUUCUAAUUGUUUUUCUUGUUUGCUCGUCAUGCGGCGCAUUUUGAUUUAUGGCUCUGACAUUUUCGGCUCGUUUUCGACGUCCUGUUUGGCAGUUUUUAAGUCGAGCCAAGUCCCCGAUGCAAUAGGUCUGAUGACAAUGACACU
ensembl:ncRNA lncRNA:CR43762 long non-coding RNA:CR43762